AUGGCGCGUCUCGCCACCAUCCUCAGCUUCGGGGACCACGCCGAGGAGGGCGCCGGCGCCUUCACGGAGCCGCAGGAGGACUACCAGCAAGAACACGACGACGACGACGACGCGGCGUCGGACGCCAGCGGCGACAGCUUCGAGUUCGCGUUCGCGCGGCCGCUGGCGCCGGCGGGCGGGGAGGCGCUGGCCGACGACCUCUUCGCGCACGGCCGCAUCCUCCCGGCCUACCCGGUCUUCCACCGCCGCCAGGCCCACGACGACGACGCCUCGGCCUCGGCCACCUCCGCGACGGCGCCGCCCUCGCCGGACACGUACUGCGCGUGGGCGCCGCGGUCCGCGCCGGGGUCGCCCGCGCGCGAACCGGCCGCCUUCCCCAAGAGCGCGUCCACGGGCACGGGCGAGGCCGCGCGCCGCUUCCGCCUGCGCGACAUCCUCGGCUCCGGCGGCCGCUCCCACAGCGACGGCAAGGAGAAGUUCCUCUUCCUCCAGCCGACUCCCGCCAAACCCAAGUCCAAGACGAGCGCAUUAUCCGCCGCGUCGGCUCCGGCCAACAAGAAGACUUCGCAGCAGAAGCAGGGCAAGAAGAAGGGCGCGGCCGCCGCUCCGACGGAGAUGGACAUGGCCACCGCGCACAGGCUCUUCUACAGCAAGCCCGGAGCCGCGGCCGGCCCCGGCGGCGAGAGGACGACGACGACGACGAAAAAGUCGUACCUGCCCUACCGGCCGGCCAUCGUCGGCUUCUUCGCCACCGCGCACGCGCUGCGCCCCAAGCACCACCCCUACUAG
rnacentral:rRNA from 1 species